rnacentral:rRNA from 1 species
GACGAACGCUGGCGGCGUGCUUAACACAUGCAAGUCGAGCGAUGAAGUUCCUUCGGGAAUGGAUUAGCGGCGGACGGGUGAGUAACACGUGGGUAACCUGCCUCAUAGAGGGGAAUAGCCUUCCGAAAGGAAGAUUAAUACCGCGUAAGAUUGUAGUACCGCAUGGUACAGCAAUUAAAGGAGUAAUCCGCUAUGAGAUGGACCCGCGUCGCAUUAGCUAGUUGGUGAGGUAACGGCUCACCAAGGCGACGAUGCGUAGCCGACCUGAGAGGGUGAUCGGCCACAUUGGGACUGAGACACGGCCCAGACUCCUACGGGAGGCAGCAGUGGGGAAUAUUGCACAAUGGGGGAAACCCUGAUGCAGCAACGCCGCGUGAGUGAUGACGGUCUUCGGAUUGUAAAGCUCUGUCUUCAGGGACGAUAAUGACGGUACCUGAGGAGGAAGCCACGGCUAACUACGUGCCAGCCGCCGCCGUAA